rnacentral:rRNA from 1 species
UACGAGGGGGGCGAGCGUUGUUCGGAAUUAUUGGGCGUAAAGGGUGCGUAGGCGGUUUGGUAAGUCUUGUGUGAAAUCUCCAGGCUCAACUUGGAGUCUGCACGAGAAACUGCCGGGCUUGAGUGUGGGAGAGGUGAGUGGAAUUCCCGGUGUAGCGGUGAAAUGCGCAGAUAUCGGGAAGAACACCCGUGGCGAAGGCGGCUCUCUGGGACGGUACUGACGCUGAGACGCGAAAGCGUGGGGAGCGAACAGG